GAUGAACGCUGGCGGCGUGCCUAAUACAUGCAAGUCGAGCGAAGAGGGGACAGGUGAGAAACCCGUGGAUAACCCCCUAUAAGACUGGGUUAACUUCGUGACACCGGAGCAAAACCGGCUACUUUUAGCAGGAUCCGCAAUGCAUUAGCUAGUUUAUAAGGUAACGACCUACAAAGGCAACUAUUCCUAGCCGACCUGAGAGGGUGACAGGCCACACUGGAACUGAGACACUGUCAAGACUCCUACGGGAGGCAGCAGUAGGGAAUAUUCCGCAAUGGGCGAAAGCCUGACGGAGCAAAGCCGCGUGAGUGAUGAAGGUCGUCGGAUCGUAAAACUCUGUUAUUAGGGAAGCGGUACCUAAUCAGAAAGCCACGGCUAACUCCGUGCCAGCAGCCGCGGUAAUAC
rnacentral:rRNA from 1 species